AGGAACAAGCCGGGGCCAGUUAGUUGCUAGUUUCUAGAAAUCCAUACACAUAUAGUUGCUAGUUUCUACCUGGCUUCACAGUUAUGCGUUCAUUUUAAAUCGUGACAUGAGAUUUAGUUUUCUAACCGAUCCCUCUCUCCCUCCCGUUUAUUCUAUUCUAUACGUACACAAUUAUAUACUAACAAACUUUCAUAUAGUUGUGACC
rnacentral:lncRNA from 1 species